GACCUCGUGGCCUAAUGGAUAAGGUGUCUGACUUCGGAUCAGAAGAUUGCAGGUUCGAGUCCUGCCGGGGUCG